AAAAACAAUUGAUAAGAUAAAACCCUAAACACACGAGAAAUAAAAAGGGAGAAUAUUAUACAUGUUUUAAUCUCUCCCUACCUCUAUCUAUUGUUUUUGCACUUUCUCUCUCUAUGGCUUCUUUGUUCUAUCACGUUUGCUCUUAAAGCGCCCAUCUCUGUCCUACACAAACGCAAGUCAACCUCAAGGUUCGUAAAUGUCUGUUUUUCUCAUUCUACUUUCUCUGUCUUUGGUUUGGAUCUUAUUUGAUUUAAUGUCUUUGAAAUUGAUUGGGGACGAACUCUUUCUGUAUCGAAUUAGAACUUUUUCAAUUUGAUCUGUAAAACUCUGUGAUUAUGAGAACGAGCACGUCAAUUAGAACUUUUUCAAUUUGUCUGUAAAACAUCAAUAGUUUUUACUUUUCUUCCAUCGAAGUCACAUGUUUUAGAAGUUUAUUUUGCUAUAGAAGUUUUAUAUGUUUAGCUGUAAGUUUUUCCAACCAUCGUUAACGUUUCAUAAUUUUUAUACAUGUCGAAGUUUGUAUAUAUUAGCAUUAAACUAUCCGAACAUUUUUAGGUUUACAUGAAAGCGUUCAAAAUAGGAUAAUAACUAUAGCUAUUGAUGCCGCUAGAACAUAAGAACAAAUAAAAUAAGAUUGCAAGUCUCAUUUAAAGUAGUAGAGUAACGCCAAUCUGAGAUUUGUCUCUUUUAAUAUGCAAGUCUCAUUGUAAAAGAAUUUGAUCUUUGUCUUCUCUCAUCCACGUCUCCAUCGGAUCCAUUACGAUUACGAUGGUUUUUGAUGGCACGGCUGUUUUCUCCUGUAGUGGUGUUUGGUGACGACAAUGGUGGCUCCUCCUUAAAUCGCAUCCAAGCCGAG
rnacentral:lncRNA from 1 species